rnacentral:snRNA from 1 species
GUGCUUGCAUUGGGAGGAUAUAUAUACCAAAACUGGAAUGAUACAGAGAUUAGCAUGGCCCCAGUGUAAGGGUAACAUGCAAAUUUGUGAAGCACUCCAUAAAAGU